UACGUAGGGGGCAAGCGUUGUCCGGAUUUAUUGGGCGUAAAGAGCGUGUAGGCGGCCACACAGGUCUGCUGUGAAAACUCGAGGCUCAACCUCGAGCUGUCGGUGGAAACCGUGUGGCUAGAGUCCGGAAGAGGAGAGUGGAAUUCCCGGUGUAGCGGUGAAAUGCGCAGAUAUCAGGAGGAACACCGAUGGCGAAGGCAGGUCUCUGGGCAUUAACUGACGCUGAGGAGCGAAAGCAUGGGGAGCGAACAGG
rnacentral:rRNA from 1 species